UGGGCGCCAAGUUCCGGCAACCAUUUUUAUUUAUUUUUUUCAUCACACCUAGGCUCACGAACGAUUUGCGUUGAAUUAUUGCCGAUCGUUGCCAUUCAUAUUUUACAAUUCCAAAUGUUCGUUUCGUACGUUUCUUUUAUUUGCAAAAUUAAACUUUCUUUUUUUUUCGUCAUGCCACGAAUGGAUUUUCGGAAUUUCUUUAAUGACUCCAUUUUGCCGAGAUGAACAAGUCGAAAAAGAAAAAGUAGUUUGAUUCGAUUUUUGGGCAAAACUGCUGAGUUAAGCAGUGGCUAAAACAGCUAGAUUUCGGUCGCUUAAACUCGUUCGAUGCUGUUCACAGCUCUCGGUUCUUGCUAGUCGAAAACGUGUUUUUUUUUCGUUUUUUUAGGGCGGCGGUGUGGAGCGGGCCUUCAGCCAAACGGCCAAGGUCGAAUUACUGCGCAUAUCACAACUUCCCUAUCCUUUCUAUCAACCACCCAACCUACUAUAUACACCUCCCACCGUAUACUCCUUCUUCUUCUCACUUCUCACCCUAAAAAAGCUCUUUUUAAGCUCUCAGCAAUGGCCCAUUAUCAAGGCCGGCCGUGUGUUCCAUCCCACACACACUUACCACACACAUUACACACACGUUUAUUGAUAGUAUAGUAGCUAGACGGAACGUAUACCUAUUAGUAUGAUGUCUUUCGAUGCAGAGCCAUCUUACGGAUGUGAAGAUCGGGACCGCGUGGCGUGAAUGCUGUUUAGGGGGGAAAAAGAAAAGAAAAAGGCGCCAUGGCGCUAGUUGCUAUGUCACCUCAUGGCCUUCCGAAAUUUGGACUAGAUUGUUGGCCAUCGGCUGAAACGGGAAGUACACUUGGAUUCCACGACAUGUGACUGGGCCACUAUUUCGCCAUUCAACGCGCAUCGUUGCUGAUGGGUUUUUCAUAUUCACUGGCUGACGUUAGUGAUCCAGACAUCGUGGCGCCACUCUACUACAUAAUCUUCUACCUACAAUGCGUUUUAUUUUUCUUUUAUGUUAAUUUCUUUAAGUAUUAUUCAGGAAGUAAAUGUUGGCUUUAGGUCAAUUCGCGCAGUCGUUCUUCGGAAUAUGUUUCGUGAAAAAUUCCCUCGUGACAGACAGCCUUGAAAUCCCCAUUAGUUGAUGGAGCAAUAGAUGGCGUUGAUCGCAAUGUUAUUUGACGUCCCGUCAGAGCAGUUUUCGAACAGACACCGUUUAUUAGUACGAAUCGCGCUUGACGACGCCUAUCUGCAGAUGAAGUAGAAAUCUGCGCAAGCGUCCUAAAGCCUCUGUUCUUGAGCCAUCUCAUGGGAUUCGCCCAACUUCUUUUUAUUUAUUUAUUUUGUUAUUUUUUUUUUCCUUCUCCAUUUUUCACAUAGAAAAAGUAAAGAUAUCACGGUUUGGUACAGUUAUAGAUUAGACGACUAUCAUGUUGCCAUACCAACCGCCCAUUUCGAUAAAAAGGAAAGAGAUCACGUCUCGAUGCCCUCCAGCUGAACGACGAAAUUUAAAUCUCUUUAUAGAAAAGUUCACUAAGCUCGUGCUUUCCAACAUUCAAUCUUUUUAGUCUACAUAUGCAUAUAAGGGCAUUUCUGUUUUUAUUUAAAAAAAAAACGCCAUUGUUAGCGCUCAUGAUAUUAACUCGUACUUACUGGAAAAACGCAACAAGCUUUCAAGUGCGUAACAACCUAAAAAAAAUGCGUUACCUCAUUAGCUUAUGAUUACACGCUAAAGGUGGCACGAAUAAAGCGAACUAGCACUUGCUAGCGAUUACAGCAGCUUAUUAGACACAUUUGCGACGAUUGCACGAUAACCGACAAAUGUUGCCUCGAGCAGCUGUAUCAUAACCGGGUUAAGAAAUACGCGAGCAAUCGUGUAAGGAAUCGCCUUACCCAAUGGGAAAUGAAUAUGUCUCUCCACUCUCUUCCGGCCUCAGUCUGCUGCGCCAUUACGGCCUUAUUGAUAGAGGCCAAAACUUGUGCUGCAGAUUGAGAAAAAAAAAAACUGCUUCACUGGAGCUAUAGACUAUUCCAGGAAAAGUUAGCCAACUUCAGUUGGCAGAUUGAUUGCUGUUUGCCGAACGUAAACGCCCGUUCAAUGGUCGCCUCUCGUUUCCCGAAAAACUCAAAGUCCAUGGAAAUUCGACAGCGGGAAAAGGAGGGGCGGAACUGGGGGGGGACGAAUCAUUGGAACUUUUGCUUCCGAGCAACUGGACGAAUUUCUCUGCUUCAUAUACGGAUUAUUUUUAUUUUUAAGUCUGCUGGAACCUGUUCCAAUUGAAAGAAAAAGUUUGGGGCUGAAGUGAAUGAGAAAAUAUGGCAACACGCGGAACCAACAACUUGAUUCCAUUGAUCAAAAUAAACAAGACAAAGUCAAACACAUGGUGCAUAGUGUACAAUGUCAUCAGUAAGGCGACAGAGUCGGAGACAAACGGCCAUACAAUGUCGGCAAAUGACGCGCACUGGAACGUUUAUCCAAUUUUGAAAAGACCCGCGCCACAUACGUACACUUCUUUCACGCUUGCGUCCCCCUCUCCCCUCCUGUGGUACGUUACAAGUUUUGUUUAAAAAGUGGGGAGGAAAGGGUAUAUAUGCAAAAAGUACGUUGAAGGAUAUUGCACCCGAUGCAAAUGAGCCCAAGCUGUUGAUAACGACGUCAGUCGAGGAGAAAAGUAACAGCUGGUGAAGGAGCCUUCUCUUUUAAUUCGCAGUUCGUUCACGUUCGAAAAGAAGAGUUUACGCAAAAGCUUUUCGUGUCUCACAAAAAAAAAGAGAGAAAGAAGAACUUGUUUCCAAAAGUGUCUCAGGACUCUUGGGCAUCUUAGAUCGUCACACGGAUUCUAUGACAUAGUGCGUUUAAGAAGCGAAGGAGGGGAAAACGAGACAUAAUCACGAAGAAAGCUUUUUUUUUUUUUUUUUUUUUUGGGGUCUCGAGAAGGUGUUCAACAACUUGGUAACGAAAGUUGGUCGGUUGCUUCUCGCGUCUCCCAGCAUCCCGGUCUUUCGAAACUUAUAUGGUCUACGACGGCGCAUCAAACUUAUUUCUCCAAUUGCCCGGCGUUUAUUCUUCCCCUUCUCGAUUCACUUUGUCCAAAGGCAAACUUUGGCUUUCAAUCGAAAAUACGCAUCUACCUCUCUCCUUCCAGUUGGGAAAAGAAAGUUUUUUUUUUUUUUUUUUUUUUUGUAAUGCGGUACAGGGAAGUGUAUCAUAACAAACCUCUUCAUACUGGAAAUUAUUAUAUGUAUGGGUCUUUAAUGUUUCUGUCUCCAAGUGUCAUCUCAUCACAAGGAUUUUGAUCUACGAGUCAAUUACAUUUUCGAAGUUGACAUGUUGGAAGUCUAAGAUAUUCAACUUAAAUUUGAUGCAUCAGAAUUGCCGAGAAUGACAACAUUGCGGAACGAAUAAAUUGUUAAAUGAAUUUGCCUUGUUUGCACGUUUACUAAAUUAGUGAUGACAUCGUUUGUUGUCGAUAGCUCUUACGGAGGUUGGCUUACGGAAUUUUUUUUAUGAGCCUAAAGCUGUGUGGACGCGGGUUCACAAAUCUGCGUGAAUCCUUUUCAAUCUCCAUACCGUUGUUUUAUGAAUUUGUACCUACUCCCUUAACCCCGUGUUUGGAUGUUGCACUAUCAACAUAAAGAUAAAAAACAUUACAACAAAGUGAAAACGAAGCAAAGCCUGGAAUUUGAAAGAUAAGAUGUCCGCAUCAAGUUUUGACUUCAGUACAACUCGAUCAAUUGGUCAUGAAUAGGCAGGCUUUGUUUUUGCACGGCUUGUGUUGCAUUGGACCACACCUGAUAGCCGCUUCAAUUUCUAUCGUUUACGAUAUCAAAUCGUGGUACGAUGCCAUUGCUGCCAUGCCAAUCGUCCUUUUGGUAUGCAUAGCUUUACGCAAUAAGUUCUUCUUCCGUGGCAUCCUUCACGUUAAUUGCCUCCUGCUCGGUAUUAUCAGCCAGGAAGUGUCACGUCAGCCACGCAGCAUUGACUGGAAUCAACUGCAAAAUCCGGAAUUUCUCCAUGUCUACUUGUGCACUACACACGUAAUUAAAGGUCCAUAACUUAUUCGAAUCCCUUUAGGGCAGUUUUGGUUGAAAUUCUAGCGUUAUACCCCGUUAGGUAUAGGAACUUUCGUGAAACUAUUUCCGUCGGCGGUAGUCAUUAACUCUCCCGACAAAUUCACGGCCAGUUGGAGAGACUACGUAGGAUGGAGCAUGUCCAUUCUUUCCAGUCUCUACUUUCUGCAAGAGCCAAAUAUCUACCGAAACAACAAGGGAAUGGCCGAGUGGAGAAGGACAUUUGCCCAAAUCGAGACACUUCACUGGACAGGAUUAGCUUUGAGUGCCUCGACUAAUUUUGAAGCUUUCGGGUGGUUCUUCGUUCUGUUUAAUUCACUUCAACCGCUUCUAGCUUAUAGUUUCUUUUACGGCUAUAGCGAUGACCUUUGACUUAGAAAUACGAACAUAGUGAAAGAAGCAUUAGUCAGGAGGUAGCUUAUUAUUAGAAAAGUAUUUUCUAUGGUACUUACCGACUGGCGAAAAUUCGAAGCUCAACGCACAAGAGAUACGAGACUUAAUGUAAUGGUUCCUCGUGACUUGCAGCCAAUAGUUCCAGAAAUAUGUUUCAAUCGCGGUAAAGCGAUGCCAUUCUUCUUUCAAUUGAAAAGUUUCGUGCUGAUAAAUCAUGUAAAUUGUGCAUAAAUCAAAUUCUCGGCAUUGCAAGGGAGACAAUUCCUUGUCGCUAACAAUAUGCUAACCAAAACGAGAAAUUCUUACAUAACUAACCUAGAAAUAUGAACUUGGUUACAUACCAUUUGCUCAUCCAUGUCGAUACCUCGAUUCAUUCCUCUCGUUUAACCGUUUAUCUAGUUUUCUUCGAAUCGAAAGUACACACCUGAUGUUGCAAAAUA